GAAGUUAAUGUCUCGUUGGUGACCAGCGGAGGGUCAUUACCGAGUUUACAACUCCCAAACCCCUGUGAACAUACCUUAUGUUGCCUCGGCGGAUCAGCCCGCGCCCCGUAAAAAGGGACGGCCCGCCGCAGGAACCCUAAACUCUGUUUUUAGUGGAACUUCUGAGUAUAAAAAACAAAUAAAUCAAAACUUUCAACAACGGAUCUCUUGGUUCUGGCAUCGAUGAAGAACGCAGCAAAAUGCGAUAAGUAAUGUGAAUUGCAGAAUUCAGUGAAUCAUCGAAUCUUUGAACGCACAUUGCGCCCGCCAGUAUUCUGGCGGGCAUGCCUGUUCGAGCGUCAUUUCAACCCUCAAGCCCAGCUUGGUGUUGGGAGCUGCAGUCCUGCUGCACUCCCCAAAUACAUUGGCGGUCACGUCGAGCUUCCAUAGCGUAGUAAUUUACACAUCGUUACUGGUAAUCGUCGCGGCCACGCCGUUAAACCCCAACUUCUGAAUGUUGACCUCGGAUCAGGUAGGAAUACCCGCUGAACUUAAGCAUAUCAAAA
rnacentral:rRNA from 1 species